CCUAGAUUAGGUCACACGGGAACACGGCCAGGUAGGCUUUGAAUGUCUCCAGAGAAGGAGACCCCACAACCUCUCUGUGCAGCCUUCUCCAGUGUUCGGUUGCCCUGGUAGCCAUACUGAGGUGUGUGUAGGAACAUAAGAGAAUCACGGUAGGUUGGGAGAAAUAGUAGCUUUAAUUAAAUGGUUGAGUGUCUUUUUCUAAAGAAGCAUUUAGGUCUCAGUCUCCUUUUGCUGCUCACAGUGAAAAAAUAGGAUCAUGCCCAAAGUAUGGAGUUGCAUGAACGUGCUGAAAUGUAAGAAAGCACGCGGUCCUUCAAAUUUAGGUGUGCCAUCCCAUAGAUUAUCAGUGACGAGCCUGGUCUUAUCACUUUCCCCUUCAGGUCUAGUUUAAAGCUUUGCGGCUCAGUUCUGCUAAGGCCUGCAAAAAUGCUUUUCCUCCUCUGAGAAAGGUGUGUCCCAUCAGGUGCUGCCAGGCCUCUGCCUCACCAGAUGGUGUCCUCACUGGGGCUUUGGCUUCCUCUGCUGCACCCUCCCUCUCAGGGGUAUCUUCCAGCUCUUCUUGACAUCCUUUCGAAUAACGUAGGCCUGUUUGCAAAGACUGCAGGACAGGAGCAAGCGCACGCUCAUGAAAGAGCGUGGCCUCUCUUUGAUGUCCCUGGCACCCGGCACACUCGGAGAAGUGCCAGCCCCUUUGGCACCAUCAUCUGCUGCCUGUUGUGCUGCCAGGGAACGCGAGCUAGGAGCCCCGUCUGCGUCUCUUCUGCCCUCCUGAGCACUGGGACCUGGUCGCGUCUCAUCUGCGGGACCACUCCCAGCAUUGGGGGCCAGCACCUGGGCAGAUCUCGGUGUUCCCAGAGUGCAGGUGGGUGGGCCUUGCUGUGGACCUGCUGGUUUCUGGCUGGGUUUUGGUCUUGCGGCUACUGGACGCCCCCGAUAUGCCAACCCGAGUGACUUCUGUGUGGCAUGUGCAGGCUGGAGGGGGGGCGCAGGAACAAAGAG
ensembl:lncRNA